CUGUGACGUCACCUUAUCUUCCCCUCCCCCCCGAUGGCCUGUGGGCGUGGUAGUGCGGGACUGGGGCGGAGCUACCGCGGGAGGCACCUCGGAGGCGGCCAGCGUUUGCUCGUCGGUGUGAACCCGUUGGGAAUCCGGUUGCGCAUCGCUGCACUUGUCCUAGGUGACCUAGUCGCUAGCCCUUCAGGGCCUGCGUAUUUGUGGGACAGCUGUAGACUGAUGGAAAGUUCUUAGCCGGAGAUGGAGGCAUUGCAGGGAGCUGACACCCGGUCAAGAGGCUUGGAGAGAGUUGAUCUGCGAGAGAGGUGGCAGAGGCAAAAGACCAAAACAGCCCAUUCAAGUGCAAAGAAACAACCCUGAGACCCAACUGUGAUGAGUAUUGGAGGUGUGGUGGAGCACUCAGUUCCUGUUGGAAGCCUGGGAUGGAGGCUGUGCUCAUCAUGAUGGGCCAAGAAGCAGGAAAGCAAACAAGGAAUCAGCCAGAAGAGGGUGUUGGAUUCUCUGCAACUGGAGUUACA
ensembl:lncRNA